rnacentral:rRNA from 1 species
CAGUAGCCACGGGAAUACGGAGGGUGCAAGCGUUAUCCGGAUUUAUUGGGUUUAAAGGGUCCGUAGGCGGAUCUGUAAGUCAGUGGUGAAAUCUCACAGCUUAACUGUGAAACUGCCAUUGAUACUGCAGGUCUUGAGUAAAUUUGAAGUGGCUGGAAUAAGUAGUGUAGCGGUGAAAUGCAUAGAUAUUACUUAGAACACCAAUUGCGAAGGCAGGUCACUAAGAUUUAACUGACGCUGAUGGACGAAAGCGUGGGGAGCGAACAGGAUUAGAUACCCCUGUAGUCCCUGUCUCUUAUAU